CGGUCCCUAUCUGUCGUGGGCGCAGGAAAUUUGAGAGGAGCUGUCCUUAGUACGAGAGGACCGGGAUGGACGCACCGCUGGUGCACCAGUUGUUCCGCCAGGAGCACAGCUGGGUAGCUAUGUGCGGCCGGGAUAAGCGCUGAAAGCAUCUAAGCGUGAAGCCCCCCUCAAGAUGAGAUUUCCCACAGCAUAAGCUGGUAAGACCCCUUAAAGAUGAUGAGGUAGAUAGGUUCGGGGUGGAAGCGUGGCAACACGCGGAGCUGACGAAUACUAAUCGGUCGAGGGCUUAACCA
rnacentral:rRNA from 1 species